GACGAACGCUGGCGGCGUGCUUAACACAUGCAAGUCGAACGGAAAGGCCCUGCUCUUGCGGGGUGCACGAGUGGCGAACGGGUGAGUAACACGUGAGUAACCUCCCCCUGACUUUGGGAUAACUUCUGGAAAAUGGGGCGAAUACCGGAUAGGAGCUCCUGCUGCAUGGGGGGGGUUGGUAAGUUUCGGCGGUGUGGGAUGGACUCGAGGCUUAUCAGCUUGUUGGGGGGGUUGGGGUUUACAAGGGCUUUGACGGGUAGCCGGCCUGGGAGGGGGACCAGCCACCAUAGUACUACGGGAGGGACCAGACGCCAACCGGAGGCAACAGGGGGAAAUAUUGCACAGUGGGCGGAAGCCAGAUGUAACAACCCCGCGUUCGUGAAGACGGCCUUCGAGUGAAAAACCGCUUUCGCCUGUACCGUACCCUGAGUGACGGUAAUGGGUAAAGAAGCACCGGCUAACUACGUG
rnacentral:rRNA from 1 species